rnacentral:rRNA from 2 species
CGGGUGAGUAAUGCUUGGGAAUCUGGCUUAUGGAGGGGGAUAACUACGGGAAACUGUAGCUAAUACCGCGUAGUAUCGGAAGAUGAAAGUGCGGGACCGUAAGGCCGCAUGCCAUGAGAUGAGCCCAAGUGGGAUUAGGUAGUUGGUGGGGUAAAGGCCUACCAAGCCUGCGAUCUCUAGCUGGUCUGAGAGGAUGGCCAGCCACACUGGAACUGAGACACGGUCCAG